rnacentral:rRNA from 1 species
AUGUCUGUAGGUAUGCUAACAGGUCGUCCUAUAGAGGAAAUGCCCGGUUCUACGGGUGACCUUCUUCUCGAGCUCUCACAACUGCACGAACGAGUUCGGCAGGUGAUGCAAGGCGUCGCCCAGGCCUUGUGGCCAUCCGUCUCCAUGCCCGAAGGCCUUGGAGGGCUUGCAGAGAAGCUGAAGGGAGCGCGGCGGUGCUUCCGAUUAUGGAAGAUAUCGGCAUGCCGUCAGGGCGCCAGGGAAGCCUGGGCCAUGGUGAAGACGCGUUACACGAAGGCUGAACCGAACCACAUGGCCGAGGUCGGACCUGUGGGGCCCGAUGGGAAGGAGAUCCCUGUGAGCUUAGUGUACGGCCAAGUAGAAUUGGCCGCAAAGUAUUCCCAACAGGACUGUAGACUAGACAGCCUAUUGGAUGGUAUUGAAGAGGAAUUCAACCAGUCAAAUUGA